rnacentral:rRNA from 1 species
AGAGUUUGAUCAUGGCUCAGGACGAACGCUGGCGGCAGGCUUAACACAUGCAAGUCGAACGAUGUAGCAAUACAUAGUGGCGCACGGGUGAGUAACGCGUGGGAAUAUACCUUAUAGUGGGGAAUAACUUUGGGAAACUAAAGCUAAUACCGCAUACGCCCGAGAGGGGAAAGAUUUAUCGCUAUAAGAUUAGCCCGCGUGAGAUUAGGUAGUUGGUGGGGUAAUGGCCUACCAAGCCUACGAUCUCUAGCUGGUCUGAGAGGAUGAUCAGCCACACUGGAACUGAGACACGGUCCAGACUCCUACGGGAGGCAGCAGUGGGGAAUAUUGGGCAAUGGAGGAAACUCUGACCCAGCCAUGCUGCGUGAAUGAUGAAGGCCUUAGGGUUGUAAAGUUCUUUCGCCGAUGAAGAUAAUGACGGUAGUCGGAGAAGAAGCCCCGGCUAACUUCGUGCCAGCAGCCGCGGUAAUACGUAGGGGGCUAGCGUUGUUCGGAAUUACUGGGCGUAAAGCGAGCGUAGGUUGCUCGAUAAGUCAGUGGUGAAAGCCCAGAGCUCAACUCUGGAACUGCCAUUGAAACUGUCGAGCUGGAAUCUCAGAGGGGGUAGCGGAAUUCCAAAUGUAGGGGUGAAAUCCGUAGAUAUUUGGAGGAACACCGGUGGCGAAGGCGGCUACCUGGAUGAGUAUUGACACUGAGGCUCGAAAGCGUGGGGAUCAAACAGGAUUAGAUACCCCGGUAGUCC